rnacentral:rRNA from 1 species
GAUGAACGCUGGCGGCGUGCCUAAUACAUGCAAGUCGAGCGAACGGACGAGAAGCCUGCUUCUCUGAUGUUAGCGGCGGACGGGUGAGUAACACGUGGAUAACCUACCUAUAAGACUGGGAUAACUUCGGGAAACCGGAGCUAAUACCGGAUAAUAUUUUGAACCGCAUGGUUCAAAAGUGAAAGACGGUCUUGCUGUCACUUAUAGAUGGAUCCGCGCUGCAUUAGCUAGUUGGUAAGGUAACGGCUUACCAAGGCAACGAUGCAUAGCCGACCUGAGAGGGUGAUCGGCCACACUGGAACUGAGACACGGUCCAGACUCCUACGGGAGGCAGCAGUAGGGAAUCUUCCGCAAUGGGCGAAAGCCUGACGGAGCAACGCCGCGUGAGUGAUGAAGGUCUUCGGAUCGUAAAACUCUGUUAUUAAGGAAGAACAUAUGUGUAAGUAACUGUGCACAUCUUGACGGUACCUAAUCAGAAAGCCACGGCUAACUACGUG